CCAAACAUAAUCUGCCAAAGAAGUGCAUAUGCACAACAUUUACCCUUUUACGUUUUUACAGCUGCCUGCAUUUUUGGACUCUACUUGAGGAUAUGUCUAUGAACUCUUAUUGGGAUUGUGGCUAUGGGGACUGUCGUGAAUGAUCUACUCCUGCACUUCAAAAUUUAAAACUACAUUGCUGAUUGCAGCACCCUAUCCUACAGCAUCUUGGACUAACUGGGUUAGAUUCAUCAGCAUCAGCAGCUUUGCACAACAAUACAGCUUCAUCUAAAUUCAAACACAGAGACAAAGAAAACAAAAGCAAACUGAAAACUCAAGAGAAUAAGAAUGCACAACUCAGCAUCUCAGAGAACGAAGGAAACCGCCAGCUCUGGAGCCCAGUAGGAGGAAGGCGUCUCCCAGGAUGUCCCUGUUGGUCCAGCUGGGGGCGUUGACUACAAUUACAAAAGCCAGGAACCAGAUGCCUCACCAGAGGUGUUCAUGGUUUCCAUGCUGCAGAUUUUCAAACAGGUUCUAAAAGCCCAUUUUCUAC